GGUUAAGCGACUAAGCGUACACGGUGGAUGCCCUGGCAGUCAGAGGCGAUGAAGGACGUGCUAAUCUGCGAUAAGCGUCGGUAAGGUGAUAUGAACCGUUAUAACCGGCGAUUUCCGAAUGGGGAAACCCAGUGUGUUUCGACACACUAUCAUUAACUGAAUCCAUAGGUUAAUGAGGCGAACCGGGGGAACUGAAACAUCUAAGUACCCCGAGGAAAAGAAAUCAACCGAGAUUCCCCCAGUAGCGGCGAGCGAACGGGGAGCAGCCCAGAGCCUGAAUCAGUGUGUGUGUUAGUGGAAGCGUCUGGAAAGGCGCGCGAUACAGGGUGACAGCCCCGUACACAAAAAUGCACAUGCUGUGAGCUCGAUGAGUAGGGCGGGACACGUGGUAUCCUGUCUGAAUAUGGGGGGACCAUCCUCCAAGGCUAAAUACUCCUGACUGACCGAUAGUGAACCAGUACCGUGAGGGAAAGGCGAAAAGAACCCCGGCGAGGGGAGUGAAAAAGAACCUGAAACCGUGUACGUACAAGCAGUGGGAGCACGCUUAGGCGUGUGACUGCGUACCUUUUGUAUAAUGGGUCAGCGACUUAUAUUCUGUAGCAAGGUUAACCGAAUAGGGGAGCCGAAGGGAAACCGAGUCUUAACUGGGCGUUAAGUUGCAGGGUAUAGACCCGAAACCCGGUGAUCUAGCCAUGGGCAGGUUGAAGGUUGGGUAACACUAACUGGAGGACCGAACCGACUAAUGUUGAAAAAUUAGCGGAUGACUUGUGGCUGGGGGUGAAAGGCCAAUCAAACCGGGAGAUAGCUGGUUCUCCCCGAAAGCUAUUUAGGUAGCGCCUCGUGAAUUCAUCUCCGGGGGUAGAGCACUGUUUCGGCAAGGGGGUCAUCCCGACUUACCAACCCGAUGCAAACUGCGAAUACCGGAGAAUGUUAUCACGGGAGACACACGGCGGGUGCUAACGUCCGUCGUGAAGAGGGAAACAACCCAGACCGCCAGCUAAGGUCCCAAAGUCAUGGUUAAGUGGGAAACGAUGUGGGAAGGCCCAGACAGCCAGGAUGUUGGCUUAGAAGCAGCCAUCAUUUAAAGAAAGCGUAAUAGCUCACUGGUCGAGUCGGCCUGCGCGGAAGAUGUAACGGGGCUAAACCAUGCACCGAAGCUGCGGCAGCGACGCUGAUGCGUUGUUGGGUAGGGGAGCGUUCUGUAAGCCUGUGAAGGUGUACUGUGAGGUAUGCUGGAGGUAUCAGAAGUGCGAAUGCUGACAUAAGUAACGAUAAAGCGGGUGAAAAGCCCGCUCGCCGGAAGACCAAGGGUUCCUGUCCAACGUUAAUCGGGGCAGGGUGAGUCGACCCCUAAGGCGAGGCCGAAAGGCGUAGUCGAUGGGAAACAGGUUAAUAUUCCUGUACUUGGUGUUACUGCGAAGGGGGGACGGAGAAGGCUAUGUUGGCCGGGCGACGGUUGUCCCGGUUUAAGCGUGUAGGCUGGUUUUCCAGGCAAAUCCGGAAAAUCAAGGCUGAGGCGUGAUGACGAGGCACUACGGUGCUGAAGCAACAAAUGCCCUGCUUCCAGGAAAAGCCUCUAAGCAUCAGGUAACAUCAAAUCGUACCCCAAACCGACACAGGUGGUCAGGUAGAGAAUACCAAGGCGCUUGAGAGAACUCGGGUGAAGGAACUAGGCAAAAUGGUGCCGUAACUUCGGGAGAAGGCACGCUGAUAUGUAGGUGAAGUCCCUUGCGGAUGGAGCUGAAAUCAGUCGAAGAUACCAGCUGGCUGCAACUGUUUAUUAAAAACACAGCACUGUGCAAACACGAAAGUGGACGUAUACGGUGUGACGCCUGCCCGGUGCCGGAAGGUUAAUUGAUGGGGUCAGCGCAAGCGAAGCUCUUGAUCGAAGCCCCGGUAAACGGCGGCCGUAACUAUAACGGUCCUAAGGUAGCGAAAUUCCUUGUCGGGUAAGUUCCGACCUGCACGAAUGGCGUAAUGAUGGCCAGGCUGUCUCCACCCGAGACUCAGUGAAAUUGAACUCGCUGUGAAGAUGCAGUGUACCCGCGGCAAGACGGAAAGACCCCGUGAACCUUUACUAUAGCUUGACACUGAACAUUGAGCCUUGAUGUGUAGGAUAGGUGGGAGGCUUUGAAGUGUGGACGCCAGUCUGCAUGGAGCCGACCUUGAAAUACCACCCUUUAAUGUUUGAUGUUCUAACGUUGACCCGUAAUCCGGGUUGCGGACAGUGUCUGGUGGGUAGUUUGACUGGGGCGGUCUCCUCCUAAAGAGUAACGGAGGAGCACGAAGGUUGGCUAAUCCUGGUCGGACAUCAGGAGGUUAGUGCAAUGGCAUAAGCCAGCUUGACUGCGAGCGUGACGGCGCGAGCAGGUGCGAAAGCAGGUCAUAGUGAUCCGGUGGUUCUGAAUGGAAGGGCCAUCGCUCAACGGAUAAAAGGUACUCCGGGGAUAACAGGCUGAUACCGCCCAAGAGUUCAUAUCGACGGCGGUGUUUGGCACCUCGAUGUCGGCUCAUCACAUCCUGGGGCUGAAGUAGGUCCCAAGGGUAUGGCUGUUCGCCAUUUAAAGUGGUACGCGAGCUGGGUUUAGAACGUCGUGAGACAGUUCGGUCCCUAUCUGCCGUGGGCGCUGGAGAACUGAGGGGGGCUGCUCCUAGUACGAGAGGACCGGAGUGGACGCAUCACUGGUGUUCGGGUUGUCAUGCCAAUGGCACUGCCCGGUAGCUAAAUGCGGAAGAGAUAAGUGCUGAAAGCAUCUAAGCACGAAACUUGCCCCGAGAUGAGUUCUCCCUGACUCCUUGAGAGUCCUGAAGGAACGUUGAAGACGACGACGUUGAUAGGCCGGGUGUGUAAGCGCAGCGAUGCGUUGAGCUAACCGGUACUAAUGAACCGUGAGGCUUAACCUU
rnacentral:rRNA from 1 species